rnacentral:rRNA from 1 species
UACGUAGGGGGCUAGCGUUGUCCGGAAUCAUUGGGCGUAAAGAGCGUGUAGGCGGUCCGGUAAGUCCGCUGUGAAAGUCGGGGGCUCAACCCUCGAAUGCCGGUGGAUACUGUCGGGCUAGAGUGCGGAAGAGGCGAGUGGAAUUCCUGGUGUAGCGGUGAAAUGCGCAGAUAUCGGGAGGAACACCAAUGGCGAAGGCAGCUCGCUGGGACGGUACUGACGCUGAGACGCGAAAGCGUGGGGAGCAAACAGG